rnacentral:lncRNA from 1 species
CGAUCUUCCUUCCUCCCAAGGAGUUCUUCACACUCCCCUCCUUCUCAUUCAGGUAUAUUCAUUAUUUCACACUUCAACCACCAUCUUCAUCGCCAUAAAGGAAAAACUUCCACAAACCUCACUUUAGAAUACUUCACUGCUAUCUAUUAUCAAUCAAGAAAAAGACACAAGACAAUAUCAAAAUAAUGAAUGAUGAUUAGUUUCACACCACUAAAAAGAAACAAAUAUUUACGUCAAAACUCAAAAUAAUAAUAUUUUAGUUAUAUUUAUUUUAUUUUUUAUUUAACAAUUUUAAUGUAUAUUAUUAUAUUAUUAAAAUUCGUUAUUAAGUGAGUGUAAUUCUUUGUAAGGAUAUACUUUCAUCUAAAAAAAGUUAUAAGUGAAAGUAAGGAAAAAUACAAAAGUUAGUUAUGAAAGAAUUAUUGUUUAAAAAAAUUAAGCACCAAGUCAGAGAUUCAUCGAGAAGGUUAAAAAGAGAUAAAAGGUUAAAAUUUGAAAAAUAUGAUGAUAAGAUUUUGCAAGGUGAAAACACGUGAAUUGAGAAAGUGGAACGGGUGCGUGCAGGUAACGCGCCUGAAGUGCGGGGGUUUCAUAUUCGCACUCCGUCUGAACCACACCAUGAGCGACGCAGCGGGUCUGGUCCAGUUCAUGAAGGCGGUGGGAGAGAUAGCGCGCGGGAGGCAGGAGCCCACGGUCCCACCGGUGUGGCGCAGAGAGCUUCUGAAAGCGCGGGACCCACCGCGAGUGACAUGCAGCCACCGCGAGUACGACGUCGUUCCCGACACGAAAGGCACGAUCAUCCCCUUGGACGACAUGGCCCACCGCUCCUUCUUCUUCGGCCGCAGCGAACUCUCGGCCAUCCGGCGCCUCCUGGCCCCUCACCAGAACCAGUGCUCCAGCUUCGAUGUCCUGACGGCGUGCCUCUGGCGGUGCCGCACCCUGGCCCUGCAACCCGACAGCGACGAGGAGGUCCGCAUUAUCUGCAUCGUGAACGCGCGGUCCAAGUUCAACCCUCCUCUUCCAGAAGGUUACUACGGAAACGUUUUUGCGUUUUCCGUGGCGGUUACGACUGCGGGGAAGUUAUGCGAGAAUCCGUUGGGGUAUGCUUUGGAAUUGGUGAGGAAGGCGAAGGCGGAAGUGAGCGAGGAGUACAUGCAGUCGUUGGCAGAUCUGAUGGUUACUCGAGGACGGCCUCACUUCACGGUGGUUCGGUCGUAUUUGGUGUCUGAUGUGAGACGUGCGGGGUUCGAAGAGGUUGAUUUUGGGUGGGGUAAAGCUGUGUACGGAGGACCCGCGAAGGGAGGUGUUGGAGCCAUACCUGGUGUGGCAAGCUUUUAUAUACCAUUCAGAAAUGAUAAGGGAGAUGAAGGGUUGGUUAUGCCCGUUUGCUUACCCUCCGAGGCCAUGCUUAGGUUUGAGAAGGAACUCCACUCUGUCCUCAACAACCACCUCCAACCAACUAUUUCCUCUAACUCCAACCGCCUCCUUCUUUCUUUCUUGUAGUCUCAUAUCAUCAAUCAAUAACUACUACUACUCUUUUCUUUUUUCAUCUUUUGCACCCUUCUCUUCUAUCUUCUGUAUUCUAUCUAUACAAAGUGAUGUAAGAGUUGAGAAGACGUCUACGUUAAUCAAACUUCUUAUCCUGCUAGGAAGUUAUUUUAUAAGAAGAAAAAAAAAAUAUGAAAGUGAGACAUGAGUUCUUAGAAAGUGCACCCCAAUCUACUAUAUUAAAUCUACCAUUGAAGUGCUUAAAUAGAUCCCUUGGAACUAAAACACAGAUUGUAGAUAAAAUUAUUGGAGCUAACUUUGUUCUAUAGAUAUGGUAGCUAAUUAAUUGAAGAAGGUGGCAUGAUAUAUAAGAGGUAAGAGCAAAUGAGGAUAAGGGAAGACUGAAACCAUAUUCACGUCAGCUUUCUUCCUUCCACACUCAAACUUCCACUAUUUUGGAAUUUUGUUAUGUAAAUACAAAAAUGUGCCCCAUUGCUUAUCUAUUGGAAUUUGAUGUUGUUAAUUUAUAAAUACUGUGUUCACUAAUGCUACAAGAUUAUUCAAUGACUCAGUCUUUAGCAUACUAUUUAAAUAGCUAUUUAAAUCUUUUUCUCUUAUAUUUGAUCGAUGUAGUUUGUAUAAGACAUUAUUGACUUCCUUUUAGAUUUAUAAAACAGACUGUUUCCUAAACUCAUUUAACUUGUAAUAAUAAACUAAAGUUAAUGAGAAUUAGAUUAGUACUAUAUAAGCAAAACGUAAAAUUACACAAAUAACACCCUACAAAACACAACCACUUACUACAUUAGACCAACCCUCCAUGCCUAAUCAAUAGGUCAAUAACAGUACCUAUCACACAAUAAACAACACAAAUAAAAUCAAACUCAACAUCCAUGCUACAACCACAACAUAGGUAAUUAUAUAUAUUUUGAAAUUAACUUUUUUUUUCUCUCUUAGCUUGGACAUGUGAUUGGUUGGACCCCAUGUUUAUUUGUACUUGUUUGUCAUGAUUUUAAUGGUUAGAUUUCCUGCAGAUAGAUCAUUUUUGGAAUUUAGGAUGUGAAUAUAGUUCAGAUUCUAGUGUUCCAUAAGGAUACCUCGUAUGAAGGAAUCUUGUGUUUUUCAAAACAAAAAUUUUGGAAUAUAUUUUAAUCUGUUCUGAAAAUUUUGUUUUACAAUGAUAAAUAUUUCAAAAACCAUGAAGUUAUAAAAAUAUUAUUUUCUUAAUUUGAGAGUAAUAGGAGGUGCGAGGAAAGGAAAUUUCUUAUUGCACUUCCAUACUUUACAAAUUAUCGAAAUUAUCCAUUAGCGCAUAAGGAAGAAGAAUAUUAAGUUUAGAAAUAAAAAAAUUUAUACCUAUAUAUUUAACUGCUUUAAAUUUUUUUCUUAUUUUAUCUUUAUUUAAUAUUUUAUUUUAUUAAUUUAUUUUAGUUAUUUAGACAUUUUAUAAUUUCAGAAAUUAAUAAAACCGUUUUUUAAUUUUAAAAUUUUAUUUUAUUUGUUAUCAUUUAACGGGCAAGAGUGGAGAGAUUAGUUACAUCUUUUUUGUUUUAAAGAUAUUCUUCUCUAUUAAAUAAAAAAUUAAAGAUAUUUGUUAAUGUUUGUUUUGUUGCUAGAUGUGGAUAGUAGGAGACUGAAGAUAUUUGUAAGUUACUUCUCUGUUUUAAACUUAUUUUCUUCUUUAUUAAAUAAAAAAGAUAUUUGUUGUGUUCAUUUGAAAAGAAUGAGUAAAGUAAAACUUUGAAUUGAAACAUGGUUGAUGGACAUUUACUUUAACUGCCUCAGCCAAAAAAUAUAUUUCAUUAUUGUUACCCUUACUCUUUUGUUUGAAUUUUGAAAUAAUUAUUUUUGUUAUUUCCUAAUUACUCUCCACUAUUGUAGCAAUUUAAAAAAUUUAAGAAACAGAUUUUAUGAUUCUCCAGUACACAUAAUAUAACUCUACUUCCCACAUCCUUUUUUUACCCUACUUCCCACAUCCUUUUUCUACCUUAUUUUCUUUUCUCUUUCCUUUCCUCUUUCAUGUAAAAUCGUACUUUCAUUCUCACUUCUCUUUCUAUGUUUUGAUCAAUCUUUGUGAAACCUUAAUCUGAUCUUUGUUUUAUGUGAUUGUAAUUGAAGUUUGUGACUAGAGGGAGGGGAAAAACUCAAUAAAAGGAGUUGCACGCAUCAUCACAACAAUCGGUAAUUCUCUUUAUGUACAUUUCAAUUUGUAAAACACUAAUUUGUCUUCUGAAAUUGUAGUUGAAAAAUAUGAUUAAAGGGAUAAGAAGAACUUAACAAGGAGGCAAAUGUACAUGAUGAAUUCGAUAACAAUUUUAUGAAUUUAAAUAAAAUCAUACAAAACAUUAAUUAAACAAUAUUAUCAUUUUCUCAUAUUUUAGAGAAAAGUUACUUUCAUUUUUAUUUUUUGGUUUUCUGUCAUCACCAUUUCUCUAUUUUUGAUCUUCCUCUAUAUUUUCUUCUUUUAAGUUUUGAUUUUCGAAAUCAUUUUAACUUUUCAUAAAUUUAUGAUUUUAGGGAAAAUAUGUCAUGCUGUUGUUAAAUUAUAGUUCUAGUAUCAUAAUGUUUUAUUUAUGUACAAAUCACAUCAAUUACUAUUUGUACUUUGUGUUGUAAAUAGACAUGAACCUUUUUUUUUAUUUGACCAAAAGACAAGGCUUCUGUAUAGAGGUUCUUCUGUAUAGAGGUUCUUCUGUAUAGAGGUUCUUCUGUAUAGAGGUUCUUCUGUAUAGAGGUUCUUCUGUAUAGAGGUUCUUCUGUAUAGAGGUUCUUCUGUAUAGAGGUUCUUCUGUAUAGAGGUUCUUCUGUAUAGAGGUUCUUCUGUAUAGAGGUUCUUCUUCUGUAUAGAGGUUCUUCUUCUGUAUAGAGGUUCUUCUUCUGUUCUAGAGGUUUCUCUUCUGUAUAGAGGUUCUUCUUCUGUAUAGAGGUUCUUCUUCUGUAUAGAGGUUCUUCUUCUGUAUAGAGGUUCUUCUUCUGUAUAGAGGUUCUUCUUCUGUAUACAGGUUCUUCUUCUGUAUACAGGUUCUUCUUCUGUAUACAGGUUCUUCUUCUGUAUACAGGUUCUUCUUUAUCAUAAGAGUCUAUUUUUACAAAUCAAUUGAAUAUUUUAUUGAAUUGAUUGUUCUUAAAUAAACAAAACUUUUGAAAAAAAUGUAUUUAUGGUUAUUAUAUGAUUUUACAGUGGGAUUUAAAGAGGAAAGAAUUUUUUUAAAUAAGAUAGUGUACAUUUAUUGCUAUAAUAAACAUAAUAUUUUUAUUUUUAUUUUAGUCUUAAUAUAAUUUAAAAGUAAAAAAUAAACUAUAAACACUAAAAUUAACUUUUGAAUACAUCUUAAAAAUAUAAUAAAUUGUAAUUAAUAUAUAUAUAUAUAUAUAAAUAUAUAGUUAUAAGAUGUAAAAAAUUAAAUUAAAUACUUAUUUUCACAAUCGUAUAAUCAAAAUAAUUUAAUAAAGAUAUAUUUUGGAAUAAAAAACUGUUGUAAAGAUAAAUAAAGAUUGUAAGAAAAUUGAUAAGAUUGGUGGUGUGUUAUUUUGAUGAUAAUUAAUUAAUGUAAAAUUUUGUAACAACAUAUUCAUUUUGUGAAAAAUUGAUAUAUUAAAAAAAAUAUAUAAUAAAAAUAAUAAGAAAAAAAGAGAAAACAAUUGGAAAGAAAAAUAAUGAUUAUGAAUAAAUUGAUAGUAUAGUUUUCAUCUUUUAUUAAUAGUUAUAAAUUUUCAAUUUUUUUAUUGUGUUGUAAUAUGUGAGUUUUUUUUUAUUCCUAAUCGUAUAAUAAAUUACUUUACAGAUAAAAUCAAUAUAUCAAUAUCCUUCUAUGUUAUCUUAUUAUUUACUAAUUUAGUUUUGUAAUUUUAUCAAAAAUAGUAUUAAAAUAUUAUAUAAUCUUAUUUAAAAAAAUUAUUUAGAAUUUUAAAAUUGUCUAAUUAAAAGUAAAUAUAAAUAUAAAUAUUUAAUUUUUAUAUUUUUUAAAAUAUUUUGUUAAUGUUUAUUAUUUUUUCACUUUUUAAUAGAUUAAAUAAUAAAAUAAAAAAUAUUUUAAUUUGAUUAAAAUUUAUAUUUAAUUAAAAUAAAACUAAAUUGAAUAAUCAAUAAAUUUACUAUAUAUUAUGUUAGUUAUGUUUGAUAAAAUUUAUGCGUUUUUUUAUUAAAAUGAAUUGUAAAUUCAUAAUGAUAGUAUAAAUGUGUGUGAAUAAUGAUAUUGUUUAUUUAAUUUUAAUAUUAAAUAUAAUUAUAUAUAUAUGAUAAAAAUAAAAAAUACGAAUUAUAUAAAAAAAUGUUUGAAAUAAUGUCCUUUACGAAUAUUAAAUAGAGAUGAAUAAUUUAUUAUUAUGAAAAUAAAAAGAAGAAGAAGGGUUAAAGGGUGCCACGUGAGGCAUAAAAUCGUAGGAGCCAAUGAGAGGAGAAGGUGGGAUGUUGAAGAGAAAAAAAGAGAAAAAGAAAUAAAACGAAGCCACUUUCCUUCCACGCCUCAAAUGCAGUUCGCGGUUCAAAUUCUCCGCCAUGGCAUCUUCUUAUUCUUGGCGCUUCUCCAACAAAAAUCAUUGUUUAGUAAUACCAUGCUUCUGUGAAUUGCAGUAAUGGAAACAGCCCUCACUUGCUUCUUCUAUGCCAGAGUCCCACCCACACCCAAAUUGGGGCAUGCUGCAACUGCAACUCCAACUUCAACUCACCUCUUCCCUUUUUUCAAUGCCUCCACCCACCUCCGUUCUUCCUUUCGACACUAUUGCCUUAUUCCAAACGCUACUAACACCACCCAACCCAAUGUUUCCACCAACUCCAAAACCCGAAGAAGGAGAAGAAGAAGUUCCCAUACUCAGUUGGUGGUGGAGGAGGCUGCUUCUGUCCAUCACAACGGAGACCCAAUUGGUAAGAAGGAUCUCGGGAAGUGUGUCAUGAGAUGGAUUCGCGACAGCAUGAGGGCCAUGGCGUCUGAUUUAGCUGCGGCGGAGAUUCUGGGAGAGAUGGAGUUGUGGGAGCUCAUGGGACCGGGUCUCACUUUUAUUAUGCAGGCACAGCCUUAUCUCAAUGCUGUUCCUAUGCCCAUUGGCCUUGAAGGUGUUUGCUUGAAGGCCUGCACGCACUACCCCACUCUGUUCGACCAUUUUCAGAGGGAGCUUCGUGCUGUUCUCCAAGACCUGCAGAACGACAACCCCAUUCAGGACUGGCGGGACACCAAGUCCUGGAAACUUCUUAAGCAGCUCGCCAAUUCAGGUUUCUCUUCAUUUCUCUCCACCCAUACACUUUGUAAUCAAAAUUAAUUUACUAUAUUAUGUAUUCGGUGCUCCCACUGCCUCACCCAAUUGUGUUGAGAAAAUCAAUUCAAAUUUCUAAUGUGAAUUCGAGAUGUAAUAUGUUGACAAGUGAAAGGUUGCAACCGUUGCUACUAUUUACGAAGGGGCUGGCUUCUGGAUUUUGAGAAACAAUUACUUGUUGUUUGGUCUCCCGAAGUCAUUCACUACACUGUAAACAGAGUUUCUUGGGAUGAGAAAAACCUUCAACCUGAAGAGUGCGUUACUCUAUGAGUGAGAGGGGCUCGUGUAACGGAGAUGAUUUUUUUGUCGAGAAAACUUGUAAUCUUACAUGAGAUAACAAAUAUAAGUACAGUCCCCAUAUAGACAAAGUUUAGGUUCGAGUCUUUUUGACAGAAAAAACGUGAUUAGGAGGGAAAUCCUACUAAAGAUGGCCAGUCAAGUUUCCCAACAGAGAUGAGUCAUCGGUAAAGUUUGUGAAUAUUCUAUACCAAUAACAUGAUUACAAAACAAAUGUGUUAAGAUGAAUCUGUGUUGUUUCUAUUUGUGAUUGUGGUGUCUUUGUGUGUAUCUCAUAUCUUUGAUCCGUGUUCAAUGAGAUGGGGUUUUCUAUCAGUUUCUUUUAACUCAAAAGAUAGGGUCUUACUGUUUAAUGGUUCAUUUACAGCUCAGCAUAGGGCAGUUGUGAGAAAGAUAGCACAACCCAAGAGUGUCCAAGGCGUUUUAGGAAUGGACUUGGAAAAGGUCAAAGCAAUACAGCACAGGAUUGAUGAAUUCACCAAUCACAUGUCAGAACUACUCCGUGUGGAAAGGGAUGCUGAAUUGGAGUUUACUCAGGAGGAAUUAGAUGCCGUUCCUAAACCAGAUGAUGCUUCUGAUUCUUCAAAACCUAUUGAUUUCUUGGUUAGUCAUAGCCAGCCUGAACAAGAACUCUGCGAUACCAUUUGUAAUUUAAAUGCCAUCAGUACCUCUACAGGUCUUCUCCUUUUUCUCUUUUCUUUUCACUUAUUCGGACAAAUUAUGAUCUUGUAUUGACCUUCCUUCUAAAAUUUAGUCUUUCCUUUAUGUGUUGGUGUGCUAUAUAAGAAGUUGAAUUGUUCACAUGCUAAUGAGUUCUAUGAUAUGAUAUAGUAAAUUACAGGAAAUUUAUUAAUAUUUUAGACCUGGACUAUCUAAAACAUCUGGUGAAACAUACUUGCAGUCUGUUUUCCAAUCAAUCCAGUUAUUGAGAUAUACCUCCAUUUUCAUUUGUUCAUUUGAGGAUAGGGGUCCUAGCUGUACUGCAUCUACUCUGGAGUCAGAUAUGUGUCAAUUUUAUUGAUGUUUAUGCUUACUGUACUCAGUUGUUUUUAAUGGAAAAUCAGUCUAAGUUGUUUCUCUCUUUCAAAUGUUUUUAUCAUGAAAUCAAGACUCAAUUCGGUUUUCCAAUUGUUCUUUGCAAAGUGAUCAUGCUUGUCAGUAUUUGUCUUAGUUCUUUAAAACAUUUAUAGAUUAUAUUGACAUUCUUCACCAAUCAUUAUGUGAUCAUGACCGUCAGCAAACCAGGUUGCCCAAUGCAAAAUGUUGAGAUCUUUACUAUAACCGCUUGAACACGCUUGAUUUACUGUAUCUAAUAUUGGGUGAAAGUAUAUAAAUUACUGAGCUUAGGUUAGAAAGUGUAUAUACAUGGAAGGUAGAAUGAUAAACACCCAUACUUUUGGGAACCUCAACCUCAAAAGCUAUCUAUUAAGGAGAUAGAACCAAACACUUAAAUACUUUAUCUCAUUCUCGAUUUGGGACCUAGGUACCCCAUAUUUCUCAAGUCCCAAUCAUAGAUUCAGACCUAGAUGAACCUUGACUCGUCUAGGUUUAGAAUGUAAAUCAUAAUUACAUGUGGUCUUUUGGAUCACUUGGAUGUCUAUACUCUCUAAGUAAAAAAUCCUAAGCAAAUCAAUAAGCUAUAUUUAAACACCUAUAUGAUGCAUAAGCAUUUUGUCUUAACUGAUGGAAUGCAUGCAUUGGUGCUACUUAUAUCAAUGCAGUCUUGUAACUUGUACCUAAAUCCAGUCUGCCUGUUAUGGUUAUAAUUUCAUUUUGCAAACAGGACUGGGGGGAAUGCAUUUGGUAUUAUUCAAGGUUGAAGGGAACCACCGGUUACCACCUACUGCUCUUUCACCUGGAGACAUGGUUUGUGUAAGAACGUAUGACAGCAGGGGUGCAAUUACAACUUCUUGCAUACAAGGAUUUGUAAACAGUUUUGGAGAUGAUGGCUAUAGUAUUACAAUUGCUUUAGAGUCACGCCAUGGUGAUCCUACAUUCUCUAAACUAUUUGGGAAGAAUGUGCGCAUUGACCGUAUUCAAGGACUGGCUGAUACACUGACCUAUGAGGUAUUGGAAUCUAUUUUGUGAUUUCUUGGAUGAGUUUUAACAACAUCAUCUUUCUGACACAUUUUCUAUUGUUAGUUAAAAUUUAUUGAAAAUGACAAAAUCAUGAGAUGAGACGGACUCAUUAAAUAGGAAGUGGAACCCAGAAAUAUUUGUUUUCCAAUCAAUUUUAUCCAAUAUUAGUUUGUUUUUAAAAGAGCAUGUUGCUAGCAUUUUUUAUCAUGCAUUAGCCAAAAAUUUUGUGGCUCUAAGAAACAUUUGUGAAAAGAAUUGCAAAAGGGUGCCAUGAAUUUUGUGAAAGUUGAAAUGAAGAAGUUUUGAGUAGUGAUCCAAAUCAGGGUGUAAUGAGUGUCUACUGUUUGUGUUUAGUCAAGCACAGUAAAAUAAAAUCAAUGGUAUCUAAAGAGAAGAAGAAAAAAAAUGGUCACCUAUUAAUUAGUUAAUUCAACUAUUUUGAUUAGGAAGGUGAACACUUCCAAUAAUUAUGAACAUAUUUACUAUAUAAACUGUCAAUAUGCAUCUUCCUUUUCAUAAUCCUCUUCUAAAUUUUAUUAAACACAAAUUCUUUACUGCUAGAAAGUUGUUGUUACAUGUUGACAGUUGACAAUAUAGAAAGACUAUAUCACCUCUGAGCACUUUUAUCAUAAUGACUUUGCUCUCUUGUCUGCUUGGCUGGCUGUGGACAUUAGUUGAUUCUAAUUUUCCUAUUUAUACUAUGUAGGUCUUCCCCAGGGUUAUGAAAAAAACACAUACGUCUUCUUGUAUUUAAGAAAUCCUAUGAUCUACUUAAGUUAAAUCUUAGAUUUAUUAUAGCUGUCAUCUCUACCUUGCCAAGGUGCUCUAGGGAUUAAGGAAUUGCUGAUGUUAUGUACGAACAAUAUUUAUAUAUAUCAUGUACCAAUGAUCAUAUGUUGAUCGCUCAUCAUACACGAGCAUCUAUUGAACUCUGAUAAAAACAAUAAGGAUUGAACUGAAAAACUCUAGCGAACUUAGUGUUAUCAAUAUUUCUGUUAAUAAUUGGGAAGAAUGUAUUGGUGAGAAGAUACAAAAAGACGGUGUAUGUAGUUUUAAGUCAUGAUUAAAAAAUGUAUGUUUCUUUUCCUGAAGAAAUUGUCAUUGGUUACUUCAAAGUUUUAAGUUACACAUUAACUGCAUUUGAUCUGGAAACAUAUGUACUUGUUGCUCUUUGUUAGUUACUGUCCUUCAGUUACUUUUGUUAGAAAGAGUGCAUGCAAAAUAUCUUUUUGAUGUCUUGGAGUAAUUUGAAAUAUCUUAGAUUAUCUCGAGAUUGGUUUUCAUAUUUGCUUAUAUUUUCAUCAUUUAUUCCCUCAUUUAAUCCAGAUUAUGAGUCUAGUAUUAAUUGAGAUAAGGGUCAGUGUUAAAUGUUGUGUGACAUCAUGCCAUAUAAAAUCAAUAUCGAUUUCAGAAUAUUCUAUUUCUUUUCUCUCCUUGUCUUCCCUCAACACCUAAAGUCCUAUAAUUUGAUCAACUUUAUUUUAUAGUGGAUAGUUUGUUGCCUGCAGUUGCUGUCUUAUUUCUUUUUAUUUGUUUCGCUCUCGCAUUACCCUAGUCUUUUAAUAAAGCAUAGAUCAGCACCUUAUUUUUUACUUUUGCUUUAUAUCCUUUGUCUUCCAGGUUGAAAAGUAGUACUUGUUGUCCUUCAUGAACUUAUCUCUUCAGAUCUCUUGUGGUCUAUGAAAGUGAAUAACUUAACUAUUAUAUGUUGAUAAAGUGAAUAUGUAGUAAUCAAUUUAAUUUCCAUUUUGAGUCGUGGGGUAAAACAUGUAUUGUGGUUUUACAACACUCUGACACUUGCUAUGGAAAGGUCAGGCAUUGUGGUAUUUUAAAAAGUGUUAACUACCCAGCACCUACUUUUUCUGCCAAAAAGAAAUUUGCAUUCUGGUGAUCUCAACUUUGUACAGAUUAAUAUAAUUUAACUUUUAUGUUUUUUUUUUAAUUUCAUUAAAAUUUUACUGCUUAGUUCACUUAAUUUAUAUGUAAAUACACAUAAUUUACAAGCUUACGACUUUGCCAGCGCAACUGUGAAGCUCU